rnacentral:rRNA from 1 species
GACGAACGCUGGCGGCGUGCUUAACACAUGCAAGUCGAACGAUGAAAGAGGAGCUUUCUCCUCUGGAUUAUUGGCGAACGGGUGAGUAACACGUGUGCAAUCUCCCCCUGACUCCGGGAGAUCUCCUGGAAACUGUGGCUAAUACCGGAUAUGCUCCAUACAGGCGUCUGGAUCGGUGGGAAAGAAUGUCUGUAAUGGAUCGUCUCGCUGCUUAUCAGCUUGUUUGUGAGGUAGCGGCUGACCAAGGCUACGACGGCUAGCCUGCCUGAGAGCGUGACCGGCCACAAUAGGACUGAGGCACGGCCCAGAAUCGUACGGGAGGCAGCAGUGGAGAAUAUUACACAAUGGGCGCGAGCCUGAUGCAGCAACGCCGCGUGCGGAAAGACGGCCUUCGGGUUGUAAACCUCUUUUAGAAGAGAAGAAGCGAAAGUGACGGUACCUGCAGAAAAAGCGACGGCUAACUACGUG